rnacentral:rRNA from 1 species
AUUGAACGCUGGCGGCAGGCCUAACACAUGCAAGUCGAGCGGAGCAGCGGACGGGUGAGUAAGGCCUAGGAAUCUGCCUGGUAGUGGGGGAUAACGUCCGGAAACGGGCGCUAAUACCGCAUACUCUUGGAUUAGACUAGGUCGGAUUGGGUAUUUGGAGGGGUAAAGGUCUACCAAGGCGACGAUCCGUAACUGGUCUGAGAGGAUGAUCAGUCACACUGGAACUGAGACACGGUCCAGACUCCUACGGGAGGCAGCAGUGGGGAAUAUUGGACAAUGGGCGAAAGCCUGAUGCAGCCAUGCCGCGUGUGUGAAGAAGGUCUUCGGAUUGUAAAGCACUUUAAGUUGGGAGGCGUUACCAACAGAAUAAGCACCGGCUAACUACGUGCCAGCAGCCGCGGUAAUUC